GCCAUUCNGCGUGCAGGACGAAGGCCUUCGGGUUGUAAACUGCUUUUGUACGGAACGAAAAGGUCUCUAUUAAUACUAGGGGCUCAUGACGGUACCGUAAGAAUAAGCACCGGCUAACUACGUGCCAGCAGCCGCGGUAAUACGUAGGGUGCAAGCGUUAAUCGGAAUUACUGGGCGUAAAGCGUGCGCAGGCGGUUAUAUAAGACAGAUGUGAAAUCCCCGGGCUCAACCUGGGAACUGCAUUUGUGACUGUAUAGCUGGAGUGCGGCAGAGGGGGAUGGAAUUCCGCGUGUAGCAGUGAAAUGCGUAGAUAUGCGGAGGAACACCGAUGGCGAAGGCAAUCCCCUGGGCCUGCACUGACGCUCAUGCACGAAAGCGUGGGGAGCAAACAGGAUUAGAUACCCUGGUAGUCCACGCCCUAAACGAUGUCAACUGGUUGUUGGGUCUUCACUGACUCAGUAACGAAGCUA
rnacentral:rRNA from 1 species